rnacentral:lncRNA from 1 species
AUAGGUGGGAAAAUCAAACUAUUUUAAAGAUAAAUAGCUCAGUGUGCAUUUGAGUUAACUUCUUUAUUUCUUCUCUCUAUUUGUCUAAUGAAUUUAAGGCAACUAAAAUAACCUGAAAUUCUGUUAAAUAGAAUAAAAUGUGAGGGCAGGGCUACACUACUGCUUAUAUUGCUAUAACUUACGUCACUCAGGGGUGUGAAAAAGCCACCCUGUAAGUGACGCAAGUUACACCAACCUAAGCGCUUGUGUGGACAGCGCGAUGUCAGCGGGAGAGCCUCUGGUGGAGGUGGAGUAAUUAUGCCAACAGGAGAGCUCUCUUCACCAGAUGUGCUACAGUGGUGCAGCUGCUAGUGUAGACUAGCCCUUAGAGUUAGCGCUAGGUGGCAGCUCUCAUUUAUUAUUUGAUCAGACUUCCUUUUUAUGACAGAACAAGACAACUACUCACAUGAGAGAGAGAGAGAGAGAGAGAAAAGAACAGCAAAAGGAUAAGAAGAAUCAGCUUCUGCCUCUGAUGCUUGCAGAUCACAUGCUCCAGCAGACAUCAAGAACCGAGUACUUUGUCUCCGGCUGCAGCAUCCCUAUGGAAUACAGCAGUGUUUUGAGUCAUGGACAACGAGGUGGAUCAUUAUGCUACCAUUAUUAUUUAUACUGAUUCUCCAUGUCUCCUAGUGAAACAACCAGACCUAAAGACUGAGGGCUUGUCAACAUAAUGAGGUAAUGCACACUACAAGCGCUGUAAUUUCUAAAGUGCACUAAUGUGUUGCGCAUUAAUUGGUCCAUGCAGACCCUACUGGUGUACACUAAUAUUCCCUAGUGCGCUUUAACAUUAAGUUAAAACACACUAGAGACCAUUUAAUAUGCACCAGCAGGGUCUACACACAGACCAAUUAAUGUGCAAACACAUUAGUGUGCUUUAGAUAUCACAAUUCCUAAGAGUAGGAUUUUCAAAAGUACUAGUGUGAUUUAGGAGCACAAAUCCCAAUGAAAGUCAUGCUUGGAAGUUCCAUGAAAACAUUCAAGCUUUUGAAAAUCCCACCCAAGAUAAAUAAAAGGAAGACAAAAAAGAUGUUUUU